rnacentral:lncRNA from 1 species
CACCCUUUACUUUUUAAGAAAUUAAAUUUGUUUUUCUAGGUCAGCAUCAAAUUUUCAUAGUUUUCCAUGUCAUGAACUUUGAGGCUUGAGCAAAGCAAAAUCCACACAAGAUUGCCAAAAGAAAAAACUAUAAAAUAUGCCCAAAGUAUAACUAUUAUUUAUUUAUACAUCAAGAAGCAACAUGUGAGAGAAAACAAAAAGAUUUUCUAUACAUAAGUAGUAAAUUUAUUGUCAAACCUCCUAGACUUGCUAUAUACAUAGCUAGUCAUUAUUGAUCAACUCUAUACCCAAAUGGCAUUAGACCCAAUGAGCAAUUACUUAAGUUUGCCCCUUACAAUAAGGCUCAUUAUCUCAUUAGCACCACCAACUAACUCUUUCACCGCACUUGAUGCUCCCAACUUCAUCACCAUAUCCAUAUUGUUUAAACAACUUCAAGAAAUUAAAUAAUGUGUUUGGUUAAAUGCCAAGAUUUGGAGCUUUUAGUGGAGAUGAAAGAAGUUGUGAAGGCUAAAGGUUUGUGAAGUGAAUUUCAGGCUUGAUUUGUUGUUGUGAGAAUUGAAGUAUUUAUGAAGCUAUAUAUAGAGAUAUUAUGUUAUCUUAAAUGAGGAAAAAAAAAAGUGAAAAUCAUUGCUUCAAGAUUUACAAGUUGAUGGAUAUA